rnacentral:sRNA from 1 species
AGCUAAGAUGGAAAUACUGAAAGAAAUGAGGCAUGUCGACAUCAGUGUCCGUUUCGGAAAAGACCUUUCAGAUGCUAUACAAGUGUUGGAUGAAGGGUGCUUUACUACUCCAGCUUCUUUGAAUGGAUUAGAGAUAAUAUGGGCAGAAUACAGUCUGGCUCAGGAGAAUAUUAAAACUUGUGAAUAUGUGAUCCUUGAGGAAUCGCCGUAUCGUCUUCCACAAUGGUUGAACUAAUUUACGUUCCCACCAACACUGUGAAAGUGUUCCUGUUUCUCCACAUCCUCUCCAGCAUCUAUUGUUUCCUGACUUUAAUGAUCAUCAUUCUAACUGAGUGAAGGGAAUAUUUUGAUUGCCCAAAGAAAUGAAAUGCAGCAGAAGCUGUACAUGUCAGUAGAAGAUUUUAUUCUGGAAGUUGAUGAGUCAUCUCUUAAUAAACGCUUAAAAACAUUGCAGGAUUUGUCAGUCUCUUUAGAAGCAGUGUAUGGACAAGCCAAAGAAGGAGCAAAUUCUGAUGAAAUACUUAAAAAAUUUUAUGACUGGAAGUGUGAUAAAAGAGAGGAGUUCACCGAUGUUAGAAGUGAAACAGACGCUUCUCUGCACCGUCUUGUAGCAUGGUUCCAAAGAACCUUAAAGGUUUUUGACCUAUCUGUGGAAGGAUCACUGAUUUCAGAAGACGCAAUGGAUAAUAUUGAUGAAAUCCUAGAGAAGACUGAGUCAAGUGUCUGCAAAGAGCUGGAGAUAGCUCUGGUUGAUCAAGGUGAUGCAGACAAGGAGAUAAUUUCAAAUACAUAUAGUCAAGUACUGCAAAAGAUUCAUUCAGAGGAAAGGCUCAUUGCCACAGUACAAGCUAAGUACAAGGACAGUAUUGAGUUUAAAAAGCAGCUUAUUGAAUAUUUAAAUAAGAGUCCCAGUGUGGAUCACUUGCUAUCCAUUAAGAAGACAUUGAAAAGCUUAAAAGCUCUACUCAGAUGGAAAUUGGUUGAAAAGAAUAAUUUGGA